rnacentral:tRNA from 2 species
UUUUUAUUUCUUUUAUUAUAA